AUUGGCCAUACACCAUGAAUGAUAGAGGCUGUGCAGCUGAUAUUCAUAGUUUAAUUACUUUUUCCUCCAAAGAGAUACAUAUUUUUAGCUAUAAUGUGUUACCUUGCUGACAGUACAUCGAUAUAUUCUCCAAUCUGGUUCAACUAUGCCUAUACUCUUUAGUUUUAUGUUGAUGUUUACACUCUCUUUCUUCUGGUCUGGAGUCUUGUAUUUUUUUUCUGAGGUGUGUACUUCACUUUUAUGUUGUAUACACAAGUAUUUUCAGAUAAAUAAAAGCAAGAACAUUAGAGAGCAUGCAGGGCCCUGAAUUUGGAGAAUCUAGGCGUAUAUCUGUACAAUAUUGUUGAGAAAAUGCGGCAGUAAGGACAAGCCAACAAAGAGGAUCUCUGCAAUGAAAGAAUACAAGGAUUUCAUCAAUUGCCUAUUAGAAGACCUAUUUAAAAGUAACGAUUAUUUUUGUAAAUCAAGGAUGAAAAGAAGACAACUGAUGUGCAAGGACGUGCAGGUACU